AGCUGACAAGCCAGUUAUCCCUCAGAGCUCCUGCUGCCUCGCCUGCUUUCUCUCGGAAACGUGAAGUGCGGCCUCAGCUGAAAGUGAGGUGGGCCUCAUUCAAUCAGUUGAAUUCUUCAAGAGAGAAAAACUGAAGUCCCUUAGAAGGAAAGAGUUCUGCCGUCGGACUGUCUUUGAACUUAAGACUGUAGAAUUGACUCCUGCCGGAAUUUCCAGCCUGCUGGCCAGCUCUGCAGAUUCACACUUGCCAGCCUCCACAAUCAUGCAGCUGAGGCGGGGGAACCCUAAGGGCUCAUUGAGAUCAUGGAUUUGCCCUUUUAUGCAUUGAUGGAUCACCUGCUGCCCACAGCGUCUGUAUUUGGUGCUGGGAUGCUGAGGACACUGAGAUCUUCAAACAGAGGCUGCCACUCUAAGCAAACAGAUCCCGAGCCCUGGACUCUGAAGCUUGGGCCCAGUUCUCCUUUUCUCCGGGUUUCAGAUCCCACUGUGAAGUGAGGGGGCCCUUCUGAUUCAGGACCCGGGGAAGCCAGGGGCAUGAGCAUCGGUGCCUCUUCUCUAUUUCAAGGACCCUUCUGGGUGUAAAGUUCUCUGAGAUGCCUUACAUGGAUUCCAACCACUGCAAGAUAACCAUCCUAUGUAAAGUGUUAUGGCCAGCAGAUCGUAAUUGAAGUGCAUUCCAGAGGGAAAGACAGCGGCUUAGGUAGGCCUUAGAGAAUCCGUCUUGGGACGAAUCCCAUUCUCACACUCCUGUAACAUCCUUAUCAGAAGGCUGGAAGACCAAGCUGGGGCUGUGGGACUAGGAGUAAUUAAAAUACCUUUCAUUGGAAGAUUCUAUAAUGCCUUCUGCGCAGUGGAGCAUGGUUACCAUCCGUUCCUUGGCCCUCCUGUUGGGAGCCAUUGGAAAGGCAAGAAUUCUUCUCUGUUGGGAGAGUGUUCAAAAUGCAGCUUGACUGUGGCUGUGUCCACACACGUAAGGUCCAAGGCGAUUUCCCUGAAGGUGAGGGCAGGAGAACAACCCUAGGAAUUUUUCGGGCAGGAUGAGGGAGAGAUGGAAUGAAAGAGUGGAUGGUGGGGCCAAGGCUGAGGAGCAUAGACUAAUAGUGGUGGGACCAAACAUGUUGGAAGAGUGUAGGACUUGUCUGUCUAUUUCUGCGGCAAGAAAUUUUCA